rnacentral:rRNA from 1 species
UACGUAGGGACCGAGCGUUGUCCGGAAUCAUUGGGCGUAAAGAGCGUGUAGGCGGCCUGUUAAGUCUUGCGUGAAAUCUCGGGGCUCAACCCCGAGCGGUCGUGAGAAACUGGCAGGCUAGAGUGCGGGAGAGGAGAGUGGAAUUCCUGGUGUAGCGGUGAAAUGCGCAGAUAUCAGGAAGAACACCGAUGGCGAAGGCAGGUCUCUGGGCAUUAACUGACGCUGAGGAGCGAAAGCAUGGGGAGCGAACAGG